UACUCCUUUAAGGCAGUCCCGUGAGGCUGGCAAGGAGGGCAAAACAGGCGCGCUUGCUGCUGCCCUUCUCCGGCCUGCUGGGGGAGGGCGUUUUUUGU
rfam:Carboxydocella sporoproducens DSM 16521 genome assembly, contig: BR84DRAFT_scaffold00005.5